AUUGAACGCUGGCGGCAUGCCUUACACAUGCAAGUCGAACGGUAACAGGUCUUCGGAUGCUGACGAGUGGCGAACGGGUGAGUAAUACAUCGGAACGUGCCUAGUAGUGGGGGAUAACUACUCGAAAGAGUGGCUAAUACCGCAUGAGAUCUACGGAUGAAAGCAGGGGAUCGCAAGACCUUGUGCUACCAGAGCGGCCGAUGGCAGAUUAGGUAGUUGGUGGGAUAAAAGCUUACCAAGCCGACGAUCUGUAGCUGGUCUGAGAGGACGAUCAGCCACACUGGGACUGAGACACGGCCCAGACUCCUACGGGAGGCAGCAGUGGGGAAUUUUGGACAAUGGGCGCAAGCCUGAUCCAGCAAUGCCGCGCGCAGGAUGAAGGCCUUCGGGUUGUAAACUGCUUUUGUACGGAACGAAAAGCCCUGGGUUAAUACCCUGGGGUCAUGACGGUACCGUAAGAGUAAGCACCGGCUAACUACGUGCCAGCCGCCGCAGUAAAAC
rnacentral:rRNA from 1 species